AUCGUUCAUCUUUAUGUAAAUAAAGACGGAAGUAGACGAAAGUUGAAGGAACGCGCC
ncrna:unclassified sequences Glutamine riboswitch